AAAGAUCGCAGGCUUCGUCAGCUCCUACAGGAUUUUGUGGAUUCUUGUAGGAGCUGGCGAAGCCUGCGAUCUUU
rnacentral:misc_RNA from 1 species